rnacentral:lncRNA from 1 species
GACCGAUGAGAAUGCUGUACAGGAAGAUGAAGUUGGGAAGAAGAGUUUGGACUUGGACACAGCCCUAAGAUGAUGCAUCCUCAAAGACGUCGUCGUCUCCCAUUUCAUCGGAACAGAAACCCAUGCUCCCUGCCAGCCAGCUGGACGACUUGGCAGUGUGCAGACGGCUGGCAUGGUUCUCCAGCUCAUGGAACCUAGAUAACUGUCACAGUGAGCCCUUGUGUCAGAGAACUCUGGCAUGGAGGAGCUUUCAAGACAACAGCAGACUGCACGGGACUGUAGUGACAACACUCAGAAAACACUGCACUGGAACUGCAUGCAGAACAGUGGAAUAAAGCACAGAAAGGAAAAACAAGUUUAAAGAGAGCAGACAUCAAAGUGGGGAAAUGAGACUGUAUUGUAACUUGGCAAGCAAACAGCACAUAAAACCGGGCUGUUUAGACCAAAGGUGGAAUGAUCAAGCAGAUGGAAAACUGAGAAUUCUGGGCCACCACAGGCCACAGGAACAUGUGAAGCAGACUGUUACCUGCAGAUGUCCUGGUUGGAUGGUGUUACAGAAGUGCGAGAGAAGGCAGACACUGGAGCGGUCGUGGAUGGAGGACUACUCCCAGCCUGCAAUGACACACUUUCAGUCAGUGUUUAUAAAGAAGCCAAGAGACCCAGACACACUGUCUCCUUGUGAAUGGCAAAAGGUAGAAAAUGAAAUAACAUCUGCUAUUUCCCACUACUUUAAGAGAAUAUGUAUUAGGUUCUUUGUUGUGUUUUGUUGAGACAAGGUCUCACUUUGUAGUUUUGGCUGGUCUGAAACUCACUAUGUAGACCAGGCUACCCUGAACUCACAGAGAUGAGCCUGCCUCUGCCUCUCCCUCUCUGCUCCUCCCCGGCCCCUGACUCUGCCCCUCUGCCCCUCUGCCCCUCUGCCCCUAUCCCCAUGCCCAUGUCCCCUUGCCUCUGCCUCAUGAGGGCUGGGAUUAAAGGUGUGCACCCU